rnacentral:rRNA from 1 species
GAUGAACGCUGGCGGCGUGCCUAAUACAUGCAAGUCGAACGAAGAAGUAAGCUUGCUUACUUCUUAGUGGCGAACGGGUGAGUAAUACAUAAGCAAUCUGCCCAUAUGCCUGGGAUAACCGUUGGAAACGAUGGCUAAUACCGGAUAGGUGAAUUGAAGGCAUCUUUGAUUCAUUAAGGUUGGGAUACAACACAUAUGGAUGAGCUUAUGGCGCAUUAGCUAGUUGGUGAGGUAACGGCUCACCAAGGCGAUGAUGCGUAGCCGACCUGAGAGGGUGACCGGCCACACUGGGACUGAGACACGGCCCAGACUCCUACGGGAGGCAGCAGUAGGGAAUUUUCGGCAAUGGGGGAAACCCUGACCGAGCAACGCCGCGUGAGUGAAGAAGGCCUUCGGGUUGUAAAGCUCUGUUGUAAGGGAAGAAGAGAUCAUAGAGGGAAUGCUAUGAUUGUGACGGUACCUUACCAGAAAGCCACGGCUAACUACGUGCCAGCCGCCGCGGUAACAC